rnacentral:rRNA from 1 species
GACGAACGCUGGCGGCGUGCCUAACACAUGCAAGUCGAACGGAGAACAUUUAGCAAUAGAUGUUCUUAGUGGCGGACGGGUGAGUAACGCGUGAGCAAUCUGCCCUUCGGAGGGGGACAACAGCUGGAAACGGCUGCUAAUACCGCAUAACGUAUUUGGAUGGCAUCAUCUGAAUACCAAAGAUUUAUCGCCGAAGGAUGAGCUCGCGUCUGAUUAGCUAGUUGGUGGGGUAAAGGCCUACCAAGGCGACGAUCAGUAGCCGGCCUGAGAGGGUGGACGGCCACACUGGGACUGAGACACGGCCCAGACUCCUACGGGAGGCAGCAGUGGGGAAUAUUGCGCAAUGGGGGAAACCCUGACGCAGCGACGCCGCGUGAGCGAAGAAGGCCUUCGGGUCGUAAAGCUCUGUUUUAAGGGACGAAGUCUGCAUAGAAUAAUACGCUGUGCAGGUGACGGUACCUUACGAGAAAGCCCCGGCUAACUACGUGCCAGCAGCCGCGGUAAGACGUAGGGGGCGAGCGUUGUCCGGAAUUACUGGGCGUAAAGAGCACGUAGGCGGAUGCUUAAGUCAGGUGUGAAAGACCGCAGCUUAACUGCGGGGUUGCACUUGAAACUGGGUAUCUUGAGGGCAGGAGAGGUCAGUAGAAUUCCUGGUGUAGCGGUGAAAUGCGUAGAAAUCAGGAGGAAUACCAGUGGCGAAGGCGGCUUUCUGGACUGUAACUGACGCUGAGGCACGAAAGCGUGGGGAGCAAACAGGAUUAGAUACCCUGGUAGUCCACGCUGUAAACGAUGGAUACUAGGUGUGGGGGGACUAACCCCCUCCUGCCGGAUUUACACAUAAGUAUUCCCCUGGGGAGUACGGCCGCCAGGUUG